CAUUAAAUGCGUUUUCUAUGAAUUUCAAUGCGAUUAAGGAAAAUUAUCCUAAUUAAUGAGUUCGGUUAAGUCACGUGCACGGGAAACACAGGGCGCGUGAAACUGGACUUAACUAAAGAAUAAGUCCGAGUGCGGCGCAAAUACUUUUUAGUUAAAGAAAGCUUUACUCGCUGCGAAACAUUAGGUCCUUAUUGGGAAAUGAGGAGUCCCACUGACACCAGAUGUUGAUGCCAGAUCCAUGCUGUUUCCUUCAGCUGCCAUGCAGCAGAGUUGACAUCCCCCCCAGACUGUCGGGGGGGUGGGAGGAUGUCCAGACUAGAG